rnacentral:rRNA from 1 species
UACGUAGGGUGCAAGCGUUGUCCGGAAUUAUUGGGCGUAAAGAGCUCGUAGGCGGCUUGUCGCGUCGGCUGUGAAAACCUGGGGCUCAACCCCGGGCCUGCAGCCGAUACGGGCAAGCUAGAAUUCGGUAGGGGAGACUGGAAUUCCUGGUGUAGCGGUGAAAUGCUUAGAUAUGUAUUAGAACACCGAUUGCGAAGGCAGUUCACUAGGCGUGUAUUGACACUGAGGCACGAAAGCGUGGGGAUCAAACAGG